UUGUCUACCGUUGCGAUUAGCCUUAGGCUUUUGUAAUAAAGUGUUAUUUUAGUACAUGUAUAUUUUUAUAUUGUACGUUAAAUUAAUUUAAUUAAUAGUUAAUGCGAUGAUAAUGUUUCAUUCGUAACGUGAACGUGUAUCGAGUCAGUUAUUUAGUUAAUCGUUUGUACAGUGCCGUUAUGGCGGCUGUGUAAUGGUUGAAAACUGGGGAGAUUGGACAAUGGAAGAAUCUUCACCACAAAGUUCAAAUGGGCAAAUUGGAUCGGCUGGUGGAGUCAACAAACAGAAUGAAAAUAAUAAUCAACGACCUCAGUAUUCGAUCCCCGGAAUUCUGCACUUCAUACAACAUGAAUGGGCCAAAUUCGAAAUGGAACGAUCCCAAUGGGAAGUGCAUAGAGCUGAACUGGAGGCGAAAAUAGCUUUCCUCCAGGGCGAACGAAAAGGCCAAGAGAAUCUAAAGAAUGAUCUUGUACGCAGGAUAAAAAUGUUAGAAUACGCGUUGAAACAAGAAAGAGCGAAAUAUCAUAAAUUGAAAUACGGUACUGAUUUAAAUCAAGGCGAUAUGAGUGCUCCUAUAUUCGACGAACCAGGAGCUGCUACCGAAAUCACAGCCGAUGCCGAAGCACCAUUUACAUCAGUUAGUAACAUAACGUGGAAACAAGGGCGUUCUUUGCUUAGACAGUAUCUUCAAGAAAUAGGUUAUACAGAUACAAUAAUAGAUGUUAGGUCGAAUAAAGUAAAAACGUUACUAGGUCUGAAUAAUAUAAAUAAUAAUAAUACCAAUAAUAAUAACAAUCCAAAUUCGCAAGAAGAAUGUAUUCCGGCGCCUGGAUCUCAAACAGUAAACGGAAACGCGACUGUUUCGAAAAAUAAACGUUUAAGCGCCACACAAGGCCGAGGGAACACCAAAAAACAGACUGUCGCUGAAUCUAUGGCCUUAGAUACCGAAGCGGCGAUCAUGGCGAAUUUUGAAUUUCUUAGUCGCGAAGGAGGUGAUGUAGAUAUGGAAGAAGAUGACGACGACGACGAUAAUAACGAAGAAGUCGAUACCUUAGUUUUUGAUCACUGUAGAGCUCCGUUAAAGAGAGAACUACGUCAUGAUAUGCACGAUGUCGAUGCCGAAGCGGAAGAAGUGCUGAAUGAACUUCAUCUGUUGACCGAAAGUGAAGAUGUUUCCUCUUCCGAUAUACGUUCUCAAAAUAGCGGAAUGUUUCAAGUCGUAUCGUCGAUGAGUAUAGCUGCGAGUAAUGAAGAUGAAGGGGGAGAUUCUGCUUUCGCCUUAGGAGAGUUGGCACAGUUGACUGUAAAUAACGAUGUGGAAAAUAGUUACGAAAUGUCCGCUGACAAGGAGUCAUAUAGGAAAACAUGGAACGCCAAGUAUACGUUAAGGAGUCAUUUCGACGGCGUCAGAGCCUUAGCAUUUCAUCCCACCGAACCCGUUUUGAUCACAGCCAGCGAAGAUCGAUCGUUGAAGUUGUGGAAUUUACAGAAAAUAGUCACGUCUAAAAAGUCAGCAUCGUUAGAUGUAGAACCAUUGUACACAUUUCGAAAACAUCUGUCACCGGUUCUGUGCGUAGCUAUCAAUUCGACUGGAGAAGAAUGCUACAGCGGAUGCCAAGACGGUCAAAUUUAUUGUUGGAAUGUUCCUUCGGCUAAUAUAGAUCCUUAUGAUUCCUACGAUCCGGGCGUUUUAAAUAGUACAUUAGAAGGACACACCGAUGCUAUUUGGGGUCUAUCUUUAAACACGCAGAAAUCACAACUUUUAUCGUGUUCAGCCGACGGUACCGUUAAAUUAUGGUCACCUACGAAACAAAAAUCGUCUCUACUAUCGACCUACGUACCCGAUCAAGCCAACGAUGGAAAUCCCACAUCGGCUGAUUUCAUCAGAGACGACAUGAACCGUAUAAUGGUCUCGUACACGUCUGGAAAUUGUAUAAUUUACGAUAUCGAAACAUGUAAACCAAUACUCAGGCUAGAGCAACCAGCUGAAAGAGCCUCGUACGAUCAAGUUAAUCGUCUGAUAUGUCAUCCAACAUUACCUGUAACGAUUACGGCUCACGAAGACAGACAUAUUAGAUUUUACGAUAACACUACCGGUAAAAUGGUCCACUGGAUGGUGGCUCAUCUCGAUGCCGUUACUAGUCUAGCUAUCGACCCCAGUGGAUUAUUCUUACUGUCCGGAAGUCACGAUUGUUCGAUUCGUUUUUGGAAUCUGGAUACUAAAACUUGCGUUCAAGAAAUCACAGCCCAUAGGAAAAAGUUCGAUGAGUCUAUUCACGACGUAGCUUUCCAUCCAUCGAAACCGUAUAUCGCCAGUUCCGGAGCUGACGGAUUAGCCAAGGUUUUUGUUUGUUGAACGCUGCUGCCUACAACCAUAUUGGAUGUUUCUUUCCCAGAUGAGUAAGUUGAAAAAGGAUCGCUUCAAUAUUCGUUUUAUAUCACAAAAGAGAAAUUUGAUAGAAGCGGAAAUACUGGCAGCGCUGUUGCUCAGCCACCUUUCAACGCUAGUAUCAGUUAUGGUCAAAAACUUCGUAUUCUUCAUCCGGUCAUCGUCACGUAGAUGCAUCGUCGUCAAAAGUUCCACGAAUGUGUGAAUCAUCUCCUAAAUCUACCCACAAUCGGCCAGAAAAAUCGGCUCACCAACGACUAGGAUUUCGUUUUACGAUGCUACUUAUCUAAAGGCGACGUUGCCGAAUAAUCAGUCUUGGCAGAUUCUUGGAAUAGAAUUGAACAGGCACCGAUGUAAAUAUACAGUCAUUUUAUCAUAUUAUCGAGUUAUCGAAACGUAAGCAUUUUUUCUCCUUUUUUUCCCCCUUAAAUCAAACUUGGCAAAUACGUCUUUUUCUUUUUUUUUUGCCGCUGGUGGUAGUCAAGUCGUCACUUUGGGUUCACCACCAUUUAAAUUUUAAUAAUUGAGGUUUUGUUAGCUCAAAAUCGCGUCGCGUCGUUUUACUAUAUGGUUAAGCUUUUAUUCAUGUAUAUGUUUACCCCUCCCCUUGUAUCUUUUGUCUCCAGUCUCCUUCCCCUGUUUUUUUUUUUCGUACCCUUCAUCCUGUUCCACUUAUUAAAGUUCAAAUCGUAUUUAGGGUAAAGGACACAUUGAUAUUGAUAACGAUUAAUUCGUUGUUUUUGUUUUGAUGAUUUUUUUUUUAUAUAUAUUAUUAUAUAUUUCUCUAGAUUUAGCGUUAUACAUUUAGAUUGCUACUAUUUUAACGUUGAUAUCGUUAGUGUGUGCUUGUGUAGGUUAUAUCUUUUUUCUAUUUUUCUGUGUUCUCCCCAAUUUCGUGUCUGUGAAUGACGUGUGCCUAUGAAAAUUUACAGAUGUUGACUGUCGUCGAGUGUCGAGUCUUCUAUAUCGACGUUAUCAUUUUCGUCGUAUUUACCCAUUCUACGCAUUAUUUCUUUGUGUUCGACGCGCGUAAAUUUUCACCGCGUAGAAGAGAAAUUGAAAGGCGUGAUUUGGCGGAUUCGUGGAAAGGAAAAAUUGAUUUUUUUUUCCUCGCUUUGAAGUGGUUUUUAAAUUUAAAGAUGCUGACAAAAAAUACCGUUUUUUCUGGAUGAAGUUGAAUAUAGGAAGCGAGUUCGAAGUGUAGAGAUUGUUUUUGGGGUUCGAUUUUAUCCAAGUUUUAGUACGUGCUGAAGUGAAAGAGGGGGAAGGUAGGGAAAGGGGUGAGAAAUGGCGAGAAAAUUGAAAUUUUGCAUUUCUGAAAAAUCGUCUUUUUUUUUUUUUGUUUUGGGUGUUUAUAAUUACACGAUGAAAUUAUUGUGUGUCUAUUUUUUCCCUUCUGCCAGCAUGUUUCGAUUUUAAGAACUAAAAAAUUUAUGUGGCAGGAAAGUUGAGAAGGGUGGGGGGAUGAGAGAAGGGCAUUUUUUCGCAAUUUCCGGUUGAGUUUGUUGGUACUUUUGCGCAAAAAAAAUAUUUUCAGUUGAUUUUUUUUUGUUUUUGAUCUUUUCAUGUUUUUUUUUGUUUUUUUUAUGAAAUUAGAUUUUCUGUGCCAAUUACACAUUCUAUGAAAAAAAUGAACAGGAGUGAAAUUUAUGGACGUGAAAUUUCCUACCAGAAGAGUUCAGUUGGUUAUUUCUUGGAGAGCUUAAUUAUUAAAAUAUUUGAUAUAAAGGUUCAGGAGUUCAACUUUCAUAUUCAGAGUCAAAUAAUUGUAUCAAGAUCUAAGCUCUAUAGAAAUAAUUGAACUCCACUCUUGUGGUUGGAAAUGUCAGACCCUACAAUUUUUCUUCUAUUAAUUUUUGUCUUUGGGAUGCUCAGUUGGCCUAGAAAAUCUAUUUUGCUGUCUGAAGACGAUGAAAAAAAUGACCAAAAAUUUUUAUUUUUGCUCAAAAUCGUCACGUGAUAGAAUUUUACGAAAAUUCGUCGAAUUCUUUGACUUAUGAAUUGAAAUAAAUCCUUUGAUUUUGAAAUGAAAGACGUGAAAUUAGCUGAAAAAAGUUUUAAAUGUCCCCAAAUUUUUCCAUAAUUGAGAGGUACUGAUUUUUCAAAUUUAGGGACAUUUCUUCUCCCCUCUCUCAUCCUUUCUCUCGGAUCAUCGUGUGUCCCAUAAGUCCCUACCACCUUCAAAUUAGCCAUUCCAAUUUUUUAGUCGAAUAAAUUUUCGAAUUUAGCAAAUUUCGAUUGUUUUUAAAAGUUUUGUUCCUCAUAAAUUUCUUCAAAAUGGAGUCUAUAAGGUCAGAAUUGGGUCAAAGAAGUCUAUACGAUGUCAAAAUGUGCAAAAAUUACUGUAAUACCAAGUUUCAGAAUUUUCAGCGCAUUUUACCCCCUCCCCCUCGGCAUUCCCCUUCCGGCCCUCCAGUUCGUCUCGAUCUUGGCCCUCCGAAUGUGAUUGGAAUUUUUACUUUAAUUUUUUAAUCUAAAAAAAUCGUUGAAAAAAUCGAUUCAACUUCAGGGGCUAAAAAAUCAAAACUUUCAAAGUAACCCCCCCCCACCCAUCCCUAACAUUCAAAAUUUUUGAAAAAAUUUACUCUUAUGUCGAAAUACACGUUUCUGUGGACCCUGAAUUCAAAUUUUUGGGCCACUUUUUAGUUUUAAACUCAAAUUUAUCUUUGGAGAUGGAAUAAAAUUUAACUUUUUUGAAAAAUUCUACCUAUGAAUCAAAAUUAUUAUACGUUUCUGGAGGACGUCGAAUCCAAAUUUUUGGGUGAUGGUUUUCCUCUGAACUCAAACUUGGUCCGGGGGAAGGAAUUAAAUUGAAAAUUUUGAAAAAAUGAUCAAUGUGCCAUCCCCUCUACUGGAGCGAAAAAAUGUUUUCUGAGGUUCACUCUUUGUGAAUUUUUUGAUUUUUUGAGUCGAGUAGUUCAAGGUGAUUUUAAAACGUCUUUAAAUUACUAAAAUGUUUAUUUUUAAAAUAUUUUUCAGGACAUUUGAGACCCAUUCCUUCAGUUUGUCUCAAAAUCCUACGGUAAUUAGAGUAUUUAGUUCAAUUUUUUUAAGUGAAAAUUUUUUUUUGAAAUGAAACAAGUUAGCUCGAUUGGGGGCGAUAAACAUAGAAAUUUCAAAAUGAGCCCCCCCCCCAACAUCCUUCGCCUUCGAUUAUCAUUGGGGAGGUUUUUGAUAUGGAUGAAAUUGGCGAAACUUAUCACUGAUGAGUGAUGACUGUGAUGAGGUUUGAAAAAAAUAAUUUCUUCCAUUUUGUGUGAUUGAUAUUCGAAGAAACUGGAAAUUGGAAAAAUUGGUCUGAAAACUGAGAAAAUUAAUUUCCUAGAAACACUUUUUUUUUGGUUCACGUGUUGAAAGUGGAUUGGAUUUAGAAUGUUAUCGAACGAACAAGUUAAUUCCGUCCGUAUAUAUUUUUUUCAUCGAGUUUUCGAUGUUUGAGGAGUCCAUGUUUUGACGAUCAUCUUAUUAUCGUUUUGUUUCCAGUGAUUUUACACGAAUUUCCCCAUCACGCCUGUUCGUUGACGAAUUUUAAUGUUGAAAAAAAUCUACUCGUUGAAAUCACGAGUAGGCUACAAACAAUGAGCAAUGUAACGCCAAAUUGUCUUAUAUUAAUAAUUGCAUUUAUAAAAAAUAUGUUCCAAUAAUCGAUGAAAAUUUAUAUUUUCGUUUUGUUUUUCGAAUUGAUUUUUAAUUUACCUACGACGAGUUAAAAUAAUGGCUAUAAUAAUAUGGUACCUAAUUAAUAAUGUCGUUUUGUAUAAGCGAAAAUCGUGUAUUUUUUCUUUUUUCUUUUUUUUUUCGUGUACGAAUAUCGUAUGUGCUGUGAUUGGUAUUUUUAAUGACUUGGGAUAUACUAACAAUUGAAGUGAUUUUUUAAUCGAAAAUUUUUAAGAGUACCCUAACUCCGCCCUGCCCAUGAUCUUUUGGCCAUGUCCAAGAGUAUUGAAAUAGAUCAUGGAGUCUUUUUAACGUUAGUAUUUUGGCGGUUUUUUCGGUCCAAGUUGGGUAUGCGAUUGCGAGUUAUCGUAAUAAUAACUUGCUUUGGUAAAAAUACGUUCGAAAAAGUAAAAAAAAAAAAAAGGUAAUUUUUUUCUAUGCUGCUGAUUUGAUAUUAGAUUAUUGUACUAGCGCGUAAUGA